UCAGGCCUAACACAUGCAAGUCGAGGGGUACAGUAGCAAUACUGGAGACCGGCGCACGGGUGCGUAACGCGUAUGCAACCUACCUUUUACAGGGGAAUAGCCCAGAGAAAUUUGGAUUAAUGCCCCAUGGUAUAUGUAAUUCGCAUGUUUUACAUAUUAAAGUUCCAACGGUAAAAGAUGGGCAUGCGUCCCAUUAGCUAGAUGGUAAGGUAACGGCUUACCAUGGCUACGAUGGGUAGGGGUCCUGAGAGGGAGAUCCCCCACACUGGUACUGAGACACGGACCAGACUCCUACGGGAGGCAGCAGUGAGGAAUAUUGGACAAUGGGCGCAAGCCUGAUACAGCCAUGCCGCGUGCAGGAAGAAGCAUCUAUGGUGUUAAAGUGCUUUUGUACGGGAAGAAACACUCCGACGGUCGGAGCUG
rnacentral:rRNA from 1 species